rnacentral:rRNA from 1 species
ACUCAAAUGAAUAGACGGGGACCCGCACAAGCAGUGGAGUAUGUGGUUUAAUUCGAAGCAACGCGAAGAACCUUACCAGGUCUUGACAUCUGGGUGAAAGCACUAGAGAUAGUGCCCUCCUUCGGGACACCCAAGACAGGUGGUGCAUGGUUGUCGUCAGCUCGUGUCGUGAGAUGUUGGGUUAAGUCCCGCAACGAGCGCAACCCUUGAUCUUAGUUGCCAGCACUUUGGGUGGGCACUCUAGGAUGACUGCCGGUGACAAACCGGAGGAAGGUGGGGAUGACGUCAAAUCAUCAUGCCCCUUAUGACCUGGGCUACACACGUACUACAAUGGCCGGUACAACGGGCAGCGAAGGAGCGAUCUGGAGCGAAUCCUUAUAAGCCGGUCUCAGUUCGGAUUGCAGGCUGCAACUCGCCUGCAUGAAGUCGGAAUUGCUAGUAAUCGCGGAUCAGCAUGCCGCGGUGAAUACGUUCCCGGGUCUUGUACACACCGCCCGU